UACAGAGGGUGCAAGCGUUGUUCGGAAUUAUUGGGCGUAAAGGGCGCGUAGGCGGUGCGGUAAGUCUGUAGUGAAAUCUCUGGGCUCAACUCAGAGUCUGCUAUAGAAACUGCCGUGCUUGAGUAUGGGAGAGGCAAGCGGAAUUCCUGGUGUAGCGGUGAAAUGCGUAGAUAUCAGGAGGAACACCUGUGGUGUAGACAGCUUGCUGGACCAUCACUGGCGCUGAGGCACGAAAGCGUGGGUAGCAAACAGG
rnacentral:rRNA from 1 species